CCCAGUAAACGGCGGCCGUAACUAUAACGGUCCUAAGGUAGCGAAAUUCCUUGUCGGGUAAGUUCCGACCUGCACGAAUGGCGUAACGACAGCGGCGCUGUCUCCACCCGAGACUCAGUGAAAUUGAAAUCGCUGUGAAGAUGCAGCGUUCCCGUGGCAAGACGGAAAGACCCCGUGAACCUUUACUAUAGCUUUACACUGAACGUUGAGUUCGUCUGUGUAGGAUAGGUGGGAGGCUAUGAAACUGUGGCGCUAGCUGCAGCGGAGCCAUCCUUGAAAUACCACCCUGUCGUGCUUGACGUUCUAACCUGGGCCCAUUAUCUGGGUCGGGGACCGUGUAUGGUGGGUAGUUUGACUGGGGCGGUCUCCUCCUAAAGAGUAACGGAGGAGCUCGAAGGUACGCUCAGCGCGGUCGGACAUCGCGCACUGUGUGCAAAGGCAUAAGCGUGCUUGACUGCAAGAUCGACGGAUCAAGCAGGUAGGAAACUAGGACUUAGUGAUCCGGUGGUUCUGUAUGGAAGGGCCAUCGCUCAACGGAUAAAAGGUACUCCGGGGAUAACAGGCUGAUACCGCCCAAGAGUUCAUAUCGACGGCGGUGUUUGGCACCUCGAUGUCGGCUCAUCACAUCCUGGGGCUGUAGUCGGUCCCAAGGGUAUGGCUGUUCGCCAUUUAAAGUGGUACGCGAGCUGGGUUCAGAACGUCGUGAGACAGUUCGGUCCCUAUCUGCCAUGGGCGUUGGAGAUUUGAGAGGGGCUGCUCCUAGUACGAGAGGACCGGAGUGGACGAACCUCUGGUGUUCCGGUUGUCACGCCAGUGGCAUUGCCGGGUAGCUAUGUUCGGAAGCGAUAACCGCUGAAAGCAUCUAAGCGGGAAGCGCGCCUCAAGAUGAGAUCUCCCGGGGCACAAGCCCCCUGAAGGAACCAUGUAGACUACGUGGUUGAUAGGUCAGGUGUGUAAGUACAGCAAUGUAUUGAGCUAACUGAUACUAAUGAUCCGUGCGGCUUGACCAU
rnacentral:rRNA from 1 species